AUUGAACGCUGGCGGCAUGCCUUACACAUGCAAGUCGAACGGUAACAGGUCUACGGAUGCUGACGAGUGGCGAACGGGUGAGUAAUACAUCGGAACGUGCCUAGUAGUGGGGGAUAACUACUCGAAAGAGUGGCUAAUACCGCAUGAGAUCUACGGAUGAAAGCAGGGGAUCGCAAGACCUUGUGCUACUAGAGCGGCCGAUGGCAGAUUAGGUAGUUGGUGGGAUAAAAGCUUACCAAGCCGACGAUCUGUAGCUGGUCUGAGAGGACGAUCAGCCACACUGGGACUGAGACAUGGCCCAGACGCCUACGGGAGGCAGCAGUGGGGAAUUUUGGACAAUGGGCGCAAGCCUGAUCCAGCAAUGCCGCGUGCAGGAUGAAGGCCUUCGGGUUGUAAACUGCUUUUGUACGGAACGAAAAGCCCCGGGUUAAUACCCUGGGGUCAUGACGGUACCGUAAGAAUAAGCACCGGCUAACUACGUGCCAGCCGCCGCGGUAA
rnacentral:rRNA from 1 species